GCCUGGUCCAAAGGCAGUGUGUUAUCUCAAUUGAUUGUUUGCAGUCAGUUAUAGAUUACACUCCUGGCUAUGCUUCUCAUUACUGCACUUGACUAGAGAU
ensembl:Y_RNA Y_RNA Y RNA